GAUGAACGCUGGCGGCGUGCCUAAUACAUGCAAGUCGAACGAAACUUCUUUAUCACCGAGUGCUUGCACUCACCGAUAAAGAGUUGAGUGGCGAACGGGUGGGUAACACGUGGGCAACCUGCCCAAAAGAGGGGGAUAACACUUGGAAACAGGUGCUAAUACCGCAUAACCAUAGUUACCGCAUGGUAACUAUGUAAAAGGUGGCUAUACUACCGCUUUUGGAUGGGCCCGCGGCGCAUUAGCUAGUUGGUAGGGUAAAGGCUUACCAAGGCAAUGAUGCGUAGCCGAAUUGAGAGGUUGAUCGGCCACAUUGGGACUGAGACACGGCCCAAACUCCUACGGGAGGCAGCAGUAGGGAAUCUUCCACAAUGGGCGAAAGCCUGAUGGAGCAACGCCGCGUGGGUGAAGAAGGUCUUCGGAUCGUAAAACCCUGUUGUUAGAGAAGAAAGUGCGUGAGAGUAACUGUUCACGUUUCGACGGUAUCUAACCAGAAAGCCACGGCUAACUACGUG
rnacentral:rRNA from 1 species